rnacentral:rRNA from 1 species
CAACAAUGGCUACUGGAUUGGAUUUCUAGUGCCUCGGAUUUACAUGCACUGAUCCUUGCUGUGGCGAUUUGGCAUAUAUGGGAGAACCGGAACAACAUAAGAAAUGGUGAAAAAAUGUCUCAUCCUUCACGUGUGGUAGGCAAGAUCAAAGCUUAUGUUAAUUUCAUCUUAUUGCACAAUUUCAGGUCGACUGGCUCCGAUAGGCGUGAGCACCAGGUGUCAAUCCCGAAGUGGUCUCCGCCGCCGACUGAGUCGGUCAAGGUCAAUGUUGAUGCUGCGAUUUUUGCCCAGACUAAACACAUGGGCAUUGGUGUUGUGAUCCGAAAUCAUCUAGGUCUGGUGCUGGCAGCAAGCAGAGGGUUUAUUCAUCAUGUUGAUAAUCCGGAGCUGGGUGAAGCUAUUGCAAUGCGCCAUGCGUUGAUUUUUGCUGAAGAUUCCGGUUUCCAGAAAAUCCUUGUGGAGACAGAUUGUGCCAGUUUGAUCAGUAAAAUUAAGAGUAAAGUGGAUGACAGGUCUCACACAGGUGCUGUAGUUUUUGACAUUAAGAGUAGGGCUCCAAGGUUCUUAUCCUGUUGUUUUACUCAUGUUAGUCAAUGCUGUAAUGAGGCAGCUCAUGUUCUAGCAAAGUCUGCUGAACAUGAUGAAGGGUCAUGCUGGUUUAAUGUAUCUCCUGAAGUUAUUAGGAAUAUAGUUUGUACUGAACAGUUCUGA